AGUGAACGCUGGCGGUAGGCCUAACACAUGCAAGUCGAACGGCAGCACAGUAAGAGCUUGCUCUUACGGGUGGCGAGUGGCGGACGGGUGAGGAAUACAUCGGAAUCUACUUUUUCGUGGGGGAUAUCGUAGGGAAACUUACGCUAAUACCGCAUACGACCUACGGGUGAAAGCAGGGGAUCUUCGGACCUUGCGCGAUUGAAUGAGCCGAUGUCGGAUUAGCUAGUUGGCGGGGUAAAGGCCCACCAAGGCGACGAUCCGUAGCUGGUCUGAGAGGAUGAUCAGCCACACUGGAACUGAGACACGGUCCAGACUCCUACGGGAGGCAGCAGUGGGGAAUAUUGGACAAAGGGCGCAAGCCUGAUCCAGCCAUACCGCGUGGGUGAAGAAGGCCUUCGGGUUGUAAAGCCCUUUUGUUGGGAAAGAAAAGCAGCAGGUUAAUACCCCGCUGUUCUGACGGUACCCAAAGAAUAAGCACCGGCUAACUUCGUG
rnacentral:rRNA from 1 species